rnacentral:rRNA from 1 species
GAGAGCACCGGCUAACUCCGUGCCAGCAGCCGCGGUAAUACGGAGGGUGCUAGCGUUAAUCGGAAAUUACUGGGCGUAAAGCGCACGCAGGCGGUCUGUCAAGUCGGAUGUGAAAUCCCCGGGCUCAACCUGGGAACUGCAUUCGAAACUGGCAGGCUAGAGUCUUGUAGAGGGGGGUAGAAUUCCAGGUGUAGCGGUGAAAUGCGUAGAGAUCUGGAGGAAUACCGGUGGCGAAGGCGGCCCCCUGGACAAAGACUGACGCUCAGGUGCGAAAGCGUGGGGAGCAAACAGGAUUAGAUACCCUGGUAGUCCACGCCGUAAACGAUGUCGACUUGGAGGUUGUGCCCUUGAGGCGUGGCUUCCGGAGCUAACGCGUUAAGUCGACCGCCUGGGGAGUACGGCCGCAAGGUUAAAACUCAAAUGAAUUGACGGGGGCCCGCACAAGCGGUGGAGCAUGUGGUUUAAUUCGAUGCAACGCGAAGAACCUUACCUACUCUUGACAUCCAGAGAACUUUCCAGAGAUGGAUUGGUGCCUUCGGGAACUCUGAGACAGGUGCUGCAUGGCUGUCGUCAGCUCGUGUUGUGAAAUGUUGGGUUAAGUCCCGCAACGAGCGCAACCCUUAUCCUUUGUUGCCAGCGGUCCGGCCGGGAACUCAAAGGAGACUGCCAGUGAUAAACUGGAGGAAGGUGGGGAUGACGUCAAGUCAUCAUGGCCCUUACGAGUAGGGCUACACACGUGCUACAAUGGCGCAUACAAAGAGAAGCGACCUCGCGAGAGCAAGCGGACCUCAUAAAGUGCGUCGUAGUCCGGAUUGGAGUCUGCAACUCGACUCCAUGAAGUCGGAAUCGCUAGUAAUCGUAGAUCAGAAUGCUACGGUGAAUACGUUCCCGGGCCUUGUACACACCGCCCGUCACACCAUGGGAGUGGGUUGCAAAAGAAGUAGGUAGCUUAACCUUCGGGAGGGCGCUACCACUUGAUCGC